AUACGGAGGAUGCAAGCGUUAUCCGGAUUUAUUGGGUUUAAAGGGUGCGUAGGCGGUUUGCUAAGCGGGAGGUGAAAUGCCGGCGCUCAACGUCGGAAGUGCCUCCCGAACUGGGGGACUGGAAUGACUCUGCCGUGGGAGGAAUGUGUAGUGUAGCGGUGAAAUGCUUAGAGAUUACACAGAACACCGUUUGCGAAGGCAUCUCACGAAGGGUUGAUUGACGCUGAGGCACGAAAGCGUGGGGAUCAAACAGGAUUAGAUACCCUGGUAGUCCACGCAGUAAACGAUGAUGGCUAACCGCUGGGCUUAUCAGUUCAGUGGCCAAGCGAAAGCGAUAAGCCAUCCACCUGGGGAGUACGACCGCAAGGUUGAAACUCAAAGGAAUUGACGGGG
rnacentral:rRNA from 1 species